rnacentral:rRNA from 1 species
UACGUAGGGGGCAAGCGUUGUCCGGAUUUAUUGGGCGUAAAGAGCGUGUAGGCGGCCAGACAAGUCUGCUGUGAAAACUCGAGGCUCAACCUCGAGCUGUCGGUGGAAACUGUCUGGCUAGAGUCCGGAAGAGGAGAGUGGAAUUCCUGGGGUAGCGGUGAAAUGCGCAGAUAUCAGGAAGAACACCGGUGGCGAAGGCGGGUCUCUGGGCAGUAACUGACGCUGAGGAGCGAAAGCGUGGGGAGCGAACAGG